rnacentral:rRNA from 1 species
UACGUAGGGGCCGAGCGUUGUCCGGAUUUAUUGGGCGUAAAGCGCUCGCAGGUGGUUCGUCGCGUCGUGCGUGAAAGACCCCGGCUCAACUGGGGAGGGUCGUGCGAUACGGGCGAACUGGAGGCCAGUAGGGGGAUGCGGAAUUCCGGGUGUAGUGGUGGAAUGCGUAGAGAUCCGGAGGAACACCAGCGGCGAAGGCGGCAUCCUGGACUGGUCCUGACACUCAGGAGCGAAAGCGUGGGGAGCGAUCCGG